rnacentral:lncRNA from 10 species
CAACCACACUGUAUUUUUUUGGAAAAAAAAAUUUGUUUUUCAUACAAUUGUAUGUUUGAGUAAGAAAAAAAUCAUUCAACUCCUAUCUUUGAUUUAUUAUUUUUAUUUGCAUGGUUUACACUCUGUUCAAGCAAGGAUUCCCUAUCUGGACACCACAAGCUACCUAUAAACUGAUAUUCGCUUUGUGAAUGAAUUACACAAGAGAAAAAUAAAGCUCAAAAUCUGCUUGUCAAAUCAAAACUCAAAAAGAUAGUAAAUGCUACUAUUUAAAUUUCUAGAUAUCAAACAACACAUAAGUUAUGAUUACCUGUAUAACUUUUUAACAUAAUAAAUGAAAUUUAAACAUUAAAUUUAAAAAAGAACCCAUGAAUAGUGACUUGAUAGAGAGGCAGGCACAGGAACAGACACCUUGAAUUACACUAAGGAAAAUACUAAGGCUUCAAAUUAGGAUGAAAGAACUGCAGAAUUUGGCAGCAGCCAUGAUCCUUGAAUCUUUCUUGCAUCCUGGCUUCCUUUGUCACUUUUGUGAUCUCAGUGACUUGUCAUUUUUGCUCCUUGGUUUUCCAUCUCAGACACUGAGCUGACUCAUAAUCCCCCAGGGCAGCAGUAUGGAACCAGAACAACCCUGUCCCAGACAGUUCAGUUGUGUUUUAUCAAUGUCUCACUCAUACGACCCACUUUCUUCCUCAUUGUCAUGGCCACAGUCCUAUGUACCUUUGCUGAGAUGGUGUUCAAAGAAAUUUCACAGCUUCACUUUGUUCUCAGGUACAUAUGAAUGUUCAGGGGCCGUCCCUUGCCUUCAUUCUGCAUUUCAGUAUUAAGAGUAUCUUUCUUACUGAAAUAAUAACAGAAGUUUUUCUUUUUGCUUUUCUAACUUCACUGAACUAUACCAUAUUGAGUCUUUGGAUUAAAAAAUAUUGCCUCUGCCUUCUUUCCAUGAUAUUGCAUAGUAUAAAAGAGAUUCCUUAAUUUAUGCUUGAGUUUAUCACUAAACAGAUGAUUAUUUUAAAUUAACACUUUUUAUUUCUUUACUUGUGCUUCAGGAAAAUGCCACAGAGAAUUAUUUAAGACUGUUGGGCUUGGCGUACCAUUCGUGUUCUUCGGGUUAAUGACCAGUUUCCUCAAACUACAAAAUGCUAACAUUUCACUGUUUCAUCAUAGAAUGCACAGGCUUUAUAUUGAUGCAGAGAAGGGCUUUCACAGCCCCAGAAUGAAGCUAAUUGUACUAUUUAUUAUACUAUUUAUACUUGCUGCACCUCCUUCCAUUCAAGGAGAGAGAACCUUUUAAGAGCCCUGUCAAAACUGCAGGUGUGCCAGAGGCUCCUGCUAACAGCAGGGGCAGGCUUUAUAGCAUUUCCUCAAGACUGCUUCGGAUCACUUUUCAGUGUGUAAAACCGGAUUUUCAUUAAUGGCACUAAUGACACGCUAAUGGGGACAGGGCAGCACACCCAAUGCCAGAGGCAGAGCAAGCCAGGCUGAAAAGUGGCCAGCCCAAGCUGCUGUAAGAUGAAAUGCUGCAGGGUGUUGAUACAUUGCAUUUCUUCUCAAAUACCAGGCAGGCCCAGGGCCUACUUGUUAAAUGGGUUGCCUUUGAGGCUGAGCAGAAGUGGAUCUAGUUACAGUUUUUCACGUAAGGACAAAACAAGAAGACAGAAAAAGCUCAGGCUUCAGACAUUUGCAAGCUGCAGCUGUUUUUCAUGGCAGGAGAUUCUGAAGACUUAUGAGCUGACACAUUACCCUCGACAUUACCAUGCAUUGACCUCUCUGCUCCUUCUUCUCCCUGGAGUGGUGUUCAAGGCUACUGUUUGACACAAGGGCCACCAAAGACCAUAUCAAAGCAGUGGCCCCAUCACAACUCAUCACUUUUAAAACACAUACAAUCUGCUCUAGGUGGAAAUGUGGAGGAGCAAAUCCAGUGUUCUGGCCUUUCCUCCAGGGAGGGAGCUCAGGUGGACGGUAGUCCCUGAUUUCUAAAGCAGCUCUUCAUGGUAGGUCAGUGUAAUUUUUAAACAAAUGGUGUAAGGGCAAGGGAGGCUACAGAAGGUUGAUGGAGAUGGAUUAUUUUGACUUCCUUCUCCUUGUGUGAUCCAUCAGCACGGAAAAGGCUUACUGUGCAUUAUUCUUACCUUUCUUUGAUCUUUUUUAGGGAAUGCUGGGAGAAAUGUUGGCCUUUCCGGUUUGCUUGAGUAUUUGUAAUAUUAAAAGCAAUGAACAGGCUGCUUUUCAGAGAGGAUGGUCAGUCACAGAACCAGGAAUGCAUCUUAACAAUCAGGUCUAUAGGCAUAGCAAAAGCAAGUUGCCUACAACACCUCUUCCUCUCUCUUUACUGAAGCACAAGAUAUUGGCAUCCUAGGAAAAACUCAUUGUCAUUCCUGUUCUAAUUUUACAGACAAAGGUGAAAGAUGCAGAGGGAAGUUGAAUAACUUGUCCAGAAUUACAUAGAAGUUUGCGAAUGAGCCAGAACUAGGAACCUGGUCUUUUAACUUUCCAUCCACUACUGUUCUCUGCUUUGUAUUGCUUCUCAAGAAAAUCUCCUUUAAAUUGUGGCUGUGCAAGUUGUGCCGCCACAAGAGCCUCUUUGGUAGGGCAGCAGUUGCAGAGUCAGCCUCCUGGUCAGUAGCUGAUAGUUCUGCUUCUGUCGUAUUUGACAUAGUUGCAUUCCCUUGGAUGUCAUAGCUGUCUCCUAUGCAGGGCCCAAGCAAAAGGGCAGGACCAUUGUUAAUUCUCUUGGUCAUUUUUCACUGAGACCCAUGGAGCUUCCAACAGGAACUUUCCUUCUAAUGUUCCGUUCUGGAAAAUUGGGAUUUUCUUCCAUUUUAUUUCUCCAGCUGGAUAAUCCCUCCAAGUUUUACACUGUGAAUUUUUCAUCAAAGUAAUUUUCUCACGUCCAUAUUUGUAGCAUUAAAUUACCAAGAAUUCUUUGCAAUUCAUGUGUACAUAGUAGCCAUUUUUAUGUCAGUACAAAGGAUUACUAUGCUGAAAUACACAUAAUGAAGCAAUGGGAGUUAGCCAUUUCAGCAUUCUUUUUUUUUUCCCUCUUUAUCUAGAUUUUGGUUUGGCUGGCACAGAAGUAUGACCACAAGAUGGACCUAAAAUAUGCACAUUUGUAAGAUUUUCCCCCAUGGUGGGAUUCACACCAUCUGCUCCCCGGUUCUCUGAUCCAAUCUGUAUUCAUCACCAGAUUUCCUGGGUUUCUAACUUACAGACAACAAAUUGUGAGACUUCUCAGCCUCCAUAAUCACAUGAACCACCUUCUCUUAAUAAAUAUAUGUAUUUAUGUGCUGGGCUCAGUGGCUGACACCUUUAACACCAGCAAUUCAGGAGGCCGAGGUGGGCGGAUCACCUGAGGUCGGGAUUUAGAGACCAGCUUGACCAACAUGGAGAAACCCCAUCUCUACUAAAAAUACAAAAUUAGCCAGGACUGGUGGCUUAUGCCUGUAAUCCCAGCUAUUUGGGGGGCUGAGGCAGGAGAAUUGC